rnacentral:rRNA from 1 species
AUUGAACGCUGGCGGCAUGCCUUACACAUGCAAGUCGAACGGCAGCGGGGGAGAAGCUUGCUUUUCCUGCCGGCGAGUGGCGAACGGGUGAGUAAUACAUCGGAGCGUGCCCUGUAGUGGGGGAUAACUAGUCGAAAGAUUAGCUAAUACCGCAUACGACCUGAGGGUGAAAGUGGGGGACCGCAAGGCCUCAUGCUAUAGGAGCGGCCGGUGUCUGAUUAGCUAGUUGGUGGGGUAAAGGCCUACCAAGGCGACGAUCAGUAGCUGGUCUGGGAGGACGAUCAGCCACACUGGGACUGAGACACGGCCCAGACUCCUACGGGAGGCAGCAGUGGGGAAUUUUGGACAAUGGGCGAAAGCCUGAUCCAGCAAUGCCGCGUGUGUGAAGAAGGCCUUCGGGUUGUAAAGCACUUUUGUCCGGAAAGAAAUGGCUCUGGUUAAUACCUGGGGUCGAUGACGGUACCGGAAGAAUAAGGACCGGCUAACUACGUGCCAGCAGCCGCGGUAA